rnacentral:rRNA from 1 species
AUUGAACGCUGGCGGCAGGCUUAACACAUGCAAGUCGAGCGGGGGAAGGUAGCUUGCUACUGGACCUAGCGGCGGACGGGUGAGUAAUGCUUAGGAAUCUGCCUAUUAGUGGGGGACAACAUCUCGAAAGGGAUGCCAAUACCGCAUACGUCCUACGGGAGAAAGCAGGGGAUCUUCGGACCUUGCGCUAAUAGAUGAGCCUAAGUCGGAUUAGCUAGUUGGUGGGGUAAAGGCCUACCAAGGCGACGAUCUGUAGCGGGUCUGAGAGGAUGAUCCGCCACACUGGGACUGGGACACGGCCCAGACUCCUACGGGAGGCAGCAGUGGGGAAUAUUGGACAAUGGGGGGAACCCUGAUCCAGCCAUGCCGCGUGUGUGAAGAAGGCCUUAUGGUUGUAAAGCACUUUAAGCGAGGAGGAGGCUACUUUAGUUAAUACCUAGAGAUAGUGGACGUUACUCGCAGAAUAAGCACCGGCUAACUCUGUGCCAGCCGCCGCAGUAA